AAGAGAUUAGUUAAAUUAAAUAACAUUAAUUUGUCAAAUUAAAAUUAUUAUAUAUUAAUAUCACUUA
rnacentral:tRNA from 1 species